UAGAUACCUGAAAGAAAAAAGCAAUCACAACUUCUGGAAAUGAAAGACAAAUUUAGAGAAGUACAAACUGCACUGGAAAGUUUCAACACCAAAAUAGAACAAGUA